GACGAACGCUUGCGGCGUGCUUAACACAUGCAAGUCGAACGGAGUGGCGAACGGGUUAGUAACACGUGGGUGACCUGCCCUGCACUUCGGGCUAAGCCUGGGAAACUGGGUCUAAUACCGGCUAGUGUGGGAUGGGCCCGCGGCCUAUCAGCUUGUUGGUGGGGUAAUGGCCUACCAAGGCGGCGACGGGUAGCCGGCCUGAGAGGGUGGACGGCCACAGUGGGACCGAGACACGGCCCAGAGUCCAACGGGGGGAAGGAGAGAGGUAUAUAGGACAAUGAGAGUAUGACUGAGGCAGAGACGCCGGGGGGGGGAUGACGGACAUUGGGCUGUUAUCUCCUUACGCCAUCGAGGCGGUAGAUGGAGCAGAAGUAAAGGCUAACUACGAACCAGCCGCCGCGGUAAUUC
rnacentral:rRNA from 1 species